rnacentral:rRNA from 1 species
UACAGAGGUCUCAAGCGUUGUUCGGAUUCAUUGGGCGUAAAGGGUGCGUAGGCUGCGCGGUAAGUCGGGUGUGAAAUCUCGGGGCUUAACUCCGAAACUGCAUUGGAAACUACCUUGCUAGAGGGUUGGAGGGGGGACUGGAAUACUUGGUGUAGCAGUGAAAUGCGUAGAUAUCAAGUGGAACACCAGUGGCGAAGGCGAGUCCCUGGACAACUCCUGACACUGAGGCACGAAAGCUAGGGGGGCAAACAGG